rnacentral:rRNA from 1 species
UAUCAAUAAGCGGAGGAAAAGAAACCAACAGGGAUUGCCUCAGUAACGGCGAGUGAAGCGGCAACAGCUCAAAUUUGAAAUCUGGCCCCCCCGGGGGGCCCGAGUUGUAAUUUGCAGAUUGUGCUUUUGGCGAGGCGCCUUCCGAGUUCCCUGGAACGGGACGCCACAGAGGGUGAGAGCCCCGUCUGGUCGGCCGCCGAGCCUCUGUAAAGCACCUUCGACGAGUCGAGUAGUUUGGGAAUGCUGCUCAAAAUGGAGGUAUAUGUCUUCUAAAGCUAAAUACCGGCCAGAGACCGAUAGCGCACAAGUAGAGUGAUCGAAAGAUGAAAAGCACCUUGAAAAGGGGGUUAAACAGUACGUGAAAUUGUUGAAAGGGAAGCGCUCGCGACCAGACUUGGGCCCGGCGGAUCACCCAGCGUUCUCGCUGGGGCACUCCGCCUCGUCCCAGGCCAGCAUCGGUUCGCGCCGGGGGACAAAGGCGGCGGGAACGUGGCUCCCCCGGGAGUGUUAUAGCCCGCCGCGGAAUGCCCUGGGGCGGACCGAGGACCCGCGCAUCUGCAUGGAUGCUGGCGUAAUGGUCACCAGCGACCCGUCUUGAAACACGGACCAAGGAGUCGUCUUCGUAUGCGAGUGUUCGGGUGUCAAACCCCUACGCGUAAUGAAAGUGAACGCAGGUGAGAGCUUCGGCGCAUCAUCGACCGAUCCUGAUGUUCUCGGAUGGAUUUGAGUAGGAGCAUACGGGGCCGGACCCGAAAGAAGGUGAACUAUGCCUGUGUAGGGUGAAGCCAGAGGAAACUCUGGUGGAGGCUCGCAGCGGUUCUGACGUGCAAAUCGAUCGUCAAACAUGGGCAUGGGGGCGAAAGACUAAUCGAACCUUCUAGUAGCUGGUUUC